rnacentral:rRNA from 1 species
UACGGGGGGGGCAAGCGUUGUUCGGAAUUACUGGGCGUAAAGGGUUUGUAGGUGGCCGGCUAAGUCAGACGUGAAAUCCCUCAGCUUAACUGGGGAACUGCGUCUGAAACUGAUCGGCUCGAGUGCAGGAGAGGAACGCGGAAUUCCAGGUGUAGCGGUGAAAUGCGUAGAUAUCUGGAGGAACACCGGUGGCGAAGGCGGCAUCCUGGACCAAUAUUGACGCUGAGGAGCGAAAGCCAGGGGAGCAAACGGG